rnacentral:rRNA from 1 species
CCUACGGGUGGCAGCAGUGGGGAAUAUUGGACAAUGGGCGAAAGCCUGAUCCAGCCAUGCCGCGUGUGUGAAGAAGGCCUUCGGGUUGUAAAGCACUUUCAGUGGGGAAGAAAGCCUUGGGGCUAAUACCCUCGAGGAAGGACAUCACCCACAGAAGAAGCACCGGCUAACUCCGUGCCAGCAGCCGCGGUAAUACGGAGGGUGCGAGCGUUAAUCGGAAUUACUGGGCGUAAAGCGCGCGUAGGCGGUCUGAUAAGCCGGUUGUGAAAGCCCCGGGUUCAACCUGGGAACGGCAUCCGGAACUGUCAGGCUAGAGUGCAGGAGAGGAAGGUAGAAUUCCCGGUGUAGCGGUGAAAUGCGUAGAGAUCGGGAGGAAUACCAGUGGCGAAGGCGGCCUUCUGGACUGACACUGACGCUGAGGUGCGAAAGCGUGGGUAGCAAACAGGAUUAGAUACUCCAGUAGUC